UUUUCUGUCACUAAUGGCACAGCAGAGAGCACCCAGGUACUUGUGAAGAGCUGAGCUGUGGUAUGGUAUGUUCCUUCGGUCCCCAGCAGUGACGUCCCUCUCACCUCACGGGCCUUACUGACUUGGGGAAGGGUCCCUGUAUUACCUGCGCGAUUGAAGAAACUUCUUAACGCCUCAAGUGAUAACUGAGCGAGUCGCUGAAAGGAGGCUAACUUUUAUUUCCAGGUAUGAACAUUCAAGUUCCUUCCUCUAUGACCUUUUUCCUGUUCCAAAAUUUUUUUGCUGACUAAUCCUUAAGUUUAUCAUAAAGAGGUUAAUCUGCAAAAACACGGGGGUGAAACUGAUGGAGAAAGAGCAAGAAUACUCCGAAAGAAAAGGCUGAUAUUUUGACAGGAUUUAAAGAUGAAAAUCUCGUUUUGGAGAGACAAAGCUGAUGGGAUCAAGCUUCAGUGUUACAUGAAGUGCUGCAUAAUCAUUGGGCUCCAUGGAAAUUGCUCAGAUCUGUGUGUGUAAACCAAACCUCCUCCGUCUUAUCAAUACUAUGUUCUCACACGCUCUGACCUUUCCGGGAGGAUAAACGUAAGAAUAAAUCUGCGUUUAGCUGUGAGUGGCAGAGUUGCUGUAUAUGCAGGACUGCCACCAGAGACAUCAUUUUCUACGUUACUUGGACUGGACACGGAUUUCUGGUACGGUAGUCCCCAUCACUGAAAGCAGGUCAAUGGGAAUUGCAGAUGGCAAAAGAGCUGCUGUUGACAUGAGAGUAGGAAGGAAUUCAAGGCCAAAGAGUUCCUGAAAACUGAAAUGCUCUCAGAGGAAGAGGUCACAAGAUCCCCUUUUCCUUUUAUAUAAAACCAAAACGUAAAACCCCACUCUUCUGUAUUUUGGUUUUAGCUGUCAUUGUAAGUAGCAACUGGUGGUGCAGUCUGCAGAUUUUAUUCUCAAGAGAUUCCACGUUGCUUCCCAGCUGCCUUUCUCUGGUUUCCCCUUCUGUGGGGAUAUAGUCAGAGAUUGUGUAAUUACAUUUCUUUUUGCAAAACAUAUGUUGGCUAUAUUCAACAGGGAUAAUAUUUCUGUGUUCCAAGACAACAGUGGUUUCUGUGGUAAAGAAAAGUCUAUGAAUAGAAGUCAGUGUCUGGACACAUGUUUAAAAUUGGUUCUUGGUGAGACACUUUUUUUUGAAAUAAUCAACCACAGAAGUUUUGAGUUAUGUCCAGUAUAAAACAAUACAGAUCAGAUUCAAAGCCUACAGGAGUCUCUCCACUUACUGUGAUAGGCUUUGGACUACACACUGUAUGCCACAUAUAACUUACCACAUUGUUGUUGCUGCUAUAGUUCAUGCACAAAGAUAAAUGACUAAACUGCUGACAUUAUGUAGAGUAUUCACAUACUAUAUUUUUUCUUUAUUCUUGAAAAACUUUAAGAAUAAGCUUGCUAAAAUGGUGAUGGUGAGGAAAAGGGAGACAAUGUUCUGUAUCAGAAAACAGGGGCUCUGUUUUAAUACGAACCAAGCAAGAUGGCGAGAUCUCCACCAGAUGGCAGUCCAUGGCAAAGAAACGCUCCAAAAAGUGGUCAACUCAGGCUGGGCUGUUCCAGGCUUGAAAAAUUCAGCCUGGAGCAGCAUCAAAAAGCAAGUAUAUAUUAGCAAGAGAGAACAUACUUAGCAUCCUUCUGCAACUUAAUGGUUGGUCCUCUAAGUGCAAGUCUAGUAACUCCAUCUUGUGGAGGAAGUGGUAGAAAAAAAGGGAAAAUGAGGAAGGGGGGGAAAAAAAAAAGUAAAACUAUCCAUGGGAAGAUGGAAGUGUGGAAGAAGUGUGUAAACAAUAAUGCAAACCAAUCCAGAGGUGUAGGGAAGAUAAAUCAGGUGCUUUUUAUCGUUUCAUGAUGCAAGAACUCAAGCUAAAAUGCAAAAGUCAUUUAAAAAAGUUUGAAAUUCUUAGGGCAUAAACUAAUUACAGACAGACCUUGGGAAAGUGUUUUCUUAGACCCAUAUAUAUAUAUAUAUAUAACUUGUCUUCUACUGGUGAAUAUUCUCUAUGACAAUUUUUGUCAUUCAUUCUUUAGAUUGACUAUGUGAUUGCUUAGUUCUAAAUACAGAUCAAACAGCUUCUUACUUGAUAAAAUUAAAAUACUUCAUCUUAAUUUAUUUCAUAUACAUAACCUUUGCCCUGGAAUUUAAAGCACUUUGUAAGCAAAUAUAAUUAUUCAAUGUUACAGGGAUUCUCAGCUGUAGGAUGUUGUUUUACAAAUAUCCUGUGCUGCUGCCAAAAAGGGUGAUGACCCCACGUGCUCUCAUAACGUCUUUUUCUCUGUAGGCUUGGUGGCUGGCUGACUGUGCCCUGCAAGGGAAGGGAAAAGAGACGAGCAGCGUUAGGGCCCUCUCUUCGGCAGGAGCAUGCGUGUUAGUCAUGGCCUAAUGAACGACUUCUUACUAGUAUCACCAGGCCUAGGUCUAGGAUGGACCAGGUAUUAUACUCAGCUUUCCGCAUCGCUUUGAAGUGGCUCAUAGCGGUGCUUAUACUUUAGCCUAGGAACUCCCAUCCUAUAAAAGAGAACGUUGCAUCCGCUUUCCAUGCUGCAUCACUGACGGAAAUGGAAACGGACCUAUCUGCCACUCUCAGUCCUAAGCCACGUUUCCUUAAGUUUGAUUUCAGCAGCAGUAAUGUAUUUAGUAGGCAGACUGCAAGAACAGAGUAAACAAACGUUUCAACUGCAGGAGAGAGAAAAGCUUUAGAACAUUCUCAAAAGUAGCAGCAUGGAGUUUGUCCCUAUGUGGAUAUCCACCUACACAGAAGCAGAUUCUUUUGGAGCUGGUUAUUUUGCUGAGGCAACUAUUAAGAGAGAGCUUAGUCUAAAAAACAGAAAGUACAGCUUGCAAUCCCCCUACUCUCUGCAAGAAUCCUGAUUCUUCAGCAGAGGUAGCCAGGCUAAAAAUUGCUUCCUAUUAAUGUGCCAGAAGAAUGUAACUUCUAUAGCUGCUGUUUGUAGAGACAGCUGAAAUGGUUGUCUAUAUCUAACAUCACUGUACUAACAUCCCUGGCAGUGAAAUGAGAUAGGUGCUUAAAUAAGUUUAUUUCCUUCUCGUGAGCACAUCCUGGUUUUCUCCGUUUUACUUGUAUGAAUAGAAAUACAACGCUCUACUGACUUAUUAUCUGUAAAAGCGAGCUAGGCAGAUGAUAGUGGACAAAAUAACUUGUCCUUAUGUGAGAAUAGCAAACUGAGACCAACUUGGACUAGAUUAGGUCAUCACAGCUGUCCUGUGUGGUCAUGUGCUAAACUACUCCAACAGAAAAAUAACUUUUUCCCCCCAGAAAGAUUAGUUUCCUGCAACAAUUCAGCAGAAAAGAGGUCCUCUAACACUUGUCUUGAUCUCAUUUCCAUAGACUUUUUCUUGCCUUCAAUCCCUCAUCCCUUUCCAGCAAGCACAAGGGACAGACCACGUAUACAAAGGUAAGGGGAGAAGCUGCACAGCAGCAAGGUGUUCUUGUUCUUCUAGUGUAUUCUGGAAGCAAAAUGCACCCUAAAAAAGCAAACUUACCUUGCAACAAUACAAGAAUAAGUUACACUGGCGAAGCUUACAAGGAUUCACAAUUUUCAUGAAUCAGUAACAUGGCGUUGCAACCCCACACCGACCGAAGGCAAGCUUGGUUCAGGCAGCCCUGGAGUGCCCUCGGGCAGGGCAUCGGCUGAGCAGCACUGAACAGGCCGAGCACGCAGGAGGGCUGACCGCCCUCCUCAGAAACGAAACACGAAGGCGUGGGCGCACCUCCCCCAGGGGGGUUCGUUCAGCUCAGGGCAGACUGUGGUAAACACACCACGCUGUCUCCUCCGCUCUUCACCUCUCUGUAAGUGUUAGAAGCAAGCUGUUAGCAAAAUCGUUUCAUGUGUAAGCAAAGCCCUGUGAAUUCAACCCAGCUUUCCAGUAUUUGCUGCAGGAUGAACACACAGAAGUUCAGUUGUACAUGUUUACUCACAUGGUUAGUAUAAAUCUUAAUUUAUUGUUUAUACUCUGCAACAUUUAUAGAGAUUUAACACACUUAUGUUUAGUGUCAAAACACCUUGGGUUUUAUUUUCAUAUCCUUUUUGAAUCAGGUUAAGCUGUAAACAAUUUUUUUUUUCAAUCAAAUACUGCCAGCUAGAAUUACUUCCAUUCAUGCAUCACUGAAAACAAAAAGGGUAUUUUUCCUUAAGUAUAGUUUUUUUUUUUUUAAACCAUGUCACUUUAUACAGAAACCAAUAGCUAGAUUCAAUGCACCCUGAUUAGUUAUGUAAACAGAGAAUCCCCCCC